GUGACAGAGACUUCAAACCCAGAUUGAGACGUCACCUGGAUCAAGAAAAACACUUCCUGCCCCCACGAUGGCCACCGUGCUUCAGCAAGAAAACAGCUUUGCCACCACAGGUCUGUGGCGGUACUUGAAACGUCAGGGAAGCACGUGAGCCGACACUGCUCUACGCAUCAUCACAGUGACAGCAAAAUGGACAAAAAUGCAGAAGAUGCAGCAAAUGAUUUGUGAGAGGAAAGAGCUGCACAUCUGCUGCGGUGCGUUCAUGUGUCAGCGGAGACAGUCGGAGCCAACGGCAGAAGCUCCAGCUGUCGCCAAGCCCUCGCUACAUCCGUCCAAAGGGAGUUCGAAAAAGCGCUCGUUUAAAGUCAGAACUGCAUUUAUGCGGGCUGGAAUGACAGAGGAGAUAUUUGGUGUUGCAGUGGAUCAGAAAGAAACCUUCCAACUUGCAUCACCAUGGCAACAAAACAUCCCUCGCCUCCCUUCACCUCCAGACAUAAUAGAGCAUAUUGCCUAAUAUUUUUCUCAGCAGGAUUUUACAGUAGGGCCUGAGGGAAGAUGACGUGGUUGCACAUUUGGAUGUUAUAAAACCGACCGAGUGAUUCGCUGUGCAGCUCGCUAGCUUGCUACUGGACGAUGUCAAGGCU